UCUUUAUUCUUUUACACUCUUACACCGCCUCUACGUUUAUAUAUUCGUUUACACUCUUUCACCUCUAAGUUUAUAUAUAUUCUUACUCUCUUGUACAUUUAUAUCAAAAAAAUUUUCUUAUUAUUUAUUUUAUUUCGUACCCUUCAACGUGUACAUACACCAAUCCUUUCUUAUUAUUUAUUUUAUUUCAUACCCUUCCACG
rnacentral:lncRNA from 1 species